UAUUAGGCCAAUAGACCUCCAAAUCAACUCUAUAUUAACCAGCCUCAAAUGUAUACUAACAUUUAUACUAACUGAGUCCAAUUCGUGGUUAAUCAUAAGGAAUAUGUCGCGUUACUACAAUUUCCCACUGGACUCCUUAACAAAAUUACCGAGAGUUGAUAAAAAGCUGCUGAUAUUUUAGACGUCACUCUGUGUGGUGCGAUGAGCGGUGAAAGGUUUGGCAGGAGAUGGAAAGGGGGUUUCGUGCUCGAUGGAAUUCGAGCAAAUCGGGGUGUUCAGAGAUGUUUUAAAUCCUUGUUAUCACAAGAGGCGCUCGCGCCCAAGAUCCUGGACUAACAUGGUUACACAGAAAGGUUUUAUCUGAUGGGCUUAGCACCUGUACUUUAACGUUCGUCGAGAAAGAAAACGGGAAAAUUUCAAAAUGCGGAUGAUAUUUCGCAUUGUUGUCGCGUGUCAGUCAUGCUGUAAGACUUUCAAAACUUGAUCUCAUCCAAGUAGCCUUGGCGCUCAUUGCAAGGAGCCCACGAAAAGUUCUGUCCUUUGGGAUAAUGAAUGAAGGAAGAUUUUGUCAGCGAAAGAAAGGGGUAAUGUGCGGACCGUGAUAAUAAUCUCGCUGGGCGCAGGUGUCCGAAAGAAAUAGACUUGUUCAUAAUGCAUUCUAACCAACCAUUCUCAACCUAAAAACCCAACGGGCACCUAAUGAUGAUGCUUAAAACCUCUACUUAAGGGAACCUUUACUUUAAAGUACCAUAAGCGCUAACCCAGGGACACCGGAGAAUUUGGUUAUUUUUGUUUGUUGAGUUUUUUAAAAUUCGAUCUUUCCCGGAAAACUUGGACAACGUGAAAUAACGUGAGUCACUGAGCGCAAGGAGUGACCGCAGUUGGAUUAAAGCUUUUUCUAAAUCAUAA